AAAAUUCUGGUUAUUGAAAACCUAAACUCUCAUUUAAGCACAAAACAACUGAUGUAAAAACUAUUUAUCAUAUGUACUUAGUUGUAUUAGGCGGUAAUUUAAGUAAAAAGAGAGCGAGGUAUGGGUAAGUAUGGAUUCUUACCUCUGAAAACAAAAAAAAAAAAAUAUUAAAUAUAUCUCAAUAAUAGUAAUCCAAAAAUGUUUAAAAUUGUGUCUUUUGUUCUUUAAAGU
rnacentral:lncRNA from 1 species